UUAUGGUCUAAAUUUGAUUAGUUGUACACUUGCAUACUGCAUUAAGGUUAAUUGUGCAGAAUGCUCUUUGGCGGUUGGCAUGUUUAUCUCAGUGACUAUACAAAGUUUAGAGGCAAUACUUGUUUGAGAGUGAUAUUGUUGGAUUUCUUUGCCUUUUC